AACAUAGAAGCUCAUUGUGGACCACAAUGCUCAGAUUGUGGAGCACAAUCACAAUUGAUACCGCAAUGCGGUCCACCUGCUAGUGCGCAAUGGAAAACUUCAAAUAGUUGGUUUUGUUUGUUUCAUCACCAGUGUGGAGCAAAAUCGUCCAUUUGUGGAGCAUAAUCACCCGAUUGUUGGCACAAUUCUCCAAUUGUAGAGCACAAUGUAUUCCGAGGGGCAUUUUUGGAAUUUCUUGCUAGAGACUUUGAAAAGGGUUUUAGAGCAAUUUUCUCACUCUCUUCAUCCCUGCAGCUGCUGGUGCGAUUUAGGAGCUCCUUUUGGAGCUCCCUUAGCCAUUUUUCAAGUUUUUCCAAGAAUAAAACACUUAGAAUUUGGCCAACAUUACUGUUGCUGACGCUUGACGCUUAGAUGGGACUCUUCUAUGCAUCUGUGAUGCAGUUUUGAAGUUGGUGGCUUGGUGCUGCUGUUUUCUUAUAGUUGCCUUGUUGGCAUGUUAAGCUGCUACAUCUUUUGAAGCUGGUAAUGUAUUUUUUAAGUCAGUGGCCUGGAGAAAUGAUGCUUUAAUUAAGCUAAAAUGAAGUGUCAGCAGCUGCACUCUGAAUGUUCAAUUUGUUAUUGUAUUAGUGAAGUGUCUGUUGCAAUGUUUUCAAGUUGUUGCUGUAUUAUUCAUCUUUUUGUGUGUUCUUUGUGUCAGUAGCUUUCGCGUGAGUACUUUGUCUUUUUAUUUAUGAGAACUUUGUGAAGAGCAGUUAUAAUCAAGUGGUUUUCUAUUUUUA